GUGAGUGAGGGGGACGACAAAAGCUCUGGGUGGAUGAGCAGGCAGAAAUAUUAACAGCUUGAAAGAAAGAUAAUGAAAAUGGGUAUGUUUAGAUAAAAUGCUUGUUAUUGUUUUUCUCGCAAAAUACUGAAAAAUAUUACGCUAUUCAUAAAUGUAUUGCCUUUGGUGCGCGCGCUGACGGAAUUUCCCGCGCUCUUCUGAUACAACAGGAGCCACCAGUGCUCCAGUAUCUUCCCACAUCUGUAAGUGAUUGUCUGAGGAAGGCAGGAGGAGCAGUGACGAGAUGGAUGAGGGGUCCAGGAUGGCUGAGGGGAAGGCUGCCUUUGUCUUCGUCCUCCUCCUCUUCAUCGCCCUGGCCUUGCUCAUCGUGCGCUGCUUCCGCAUCCUGCUGGACCCAUACCGCAGCAUGCCCUCCUCCAACUGGACAGACCACACAGAGAAGGACACGUUUGACUACCGCAUUGUCUAAGGAGGACCUAAGGAGCUCCCUCGACACUGUUUUUCAGUUGAAGCACUGUCAACUAUUGCAAUGCUCGAGGAGCAACUUUGUUAAUCCAUUUUGCCCAAGGACCACAUGCUGUAUGACUGCCGGUGCCAAACCACCAGGGACCCCUUUGUAUUAGAUGCAGCCUUCGAGCAUGCUUCACCUAAGGCCUUUGUCUGCUCUAUUGUAACAUGUUAUAUCAAUUCCUUCACCAAUUACUGCAGUCAUGAGCAGUAAUAGCCAGCCCUUAUUACCCUAAUGACAACACAUACGAGUGAUUCCAAAAGAAACCAGGGGGGAAAAAGGCCAUAACUUUGCUGAUUUAAAAAAAAUAAGAUUUAAUCCAUAGAAUGGUCCUUUGGAAGAAUGAUUGUUGACAUAUAUUUGACAUUUGUAUCUAAACGCAUAAUUGAGAAAUAAUUUAUCAAAGUUGUCAUAUUUAUGACAUUUUGGCCUUACUCAGGCCUCCUAAAAUACGCCAUAAUGUUUAAUCUGUAUGGGCUGCAAAGAUGAAAAUUGGUGUAAUAUUAAGCUUUACCGCUUGCUCUGUAAUAUGAGUAGCAUUUUUAUUUUUUAUUUUUUAUGAAUGUUGAAAAAUAAAAACCUGAAUAUUGAAAAAACAA